rnacentral:rRNA from 1 species
CCUACGGGAGGCAGCAGUGGGGAAUAUUGGGCAAUGGGCGCAAGCCUGACCCAGCAAAGCCGCGUGAAGGAAGAAGGCUUUCGGGUUGUAAACUUCUUUUGUCAGGGAAGAGUAAAAGACGGUACCUGACGAAUAAGCUAUGGCUAACUACGUGCCAGCAGCCGCGGUAAUACGUAGGUGGCAAGCGUUGUCCGGAUGUACUGGGUGUAAAGGGCGUGUAGUCGGGUUUACAAGUCAGAUGUGAAAUCCUGCGGCUUAACCGCAGAACUGCAGUUGAAACUGUUGAUCUUGAGUGCUGAAGAGGCAGACGGAAUGCCUGGUGUAGCGGUGAAAUGCGUAGAUAUUAGGAGGAACACCAGUGGCGAAGGCGGUCUGCUGGAGAGCAACUGACGGUGAGGCGCGAAAGCGUGGGGAGCAAACAGGAUUAGAUACCCGUGUAGUC